GAUGAACGCUAGCGGCAGGCCUAAUACAUGCAAGUCGAACGGUAAGGCCCUUUCGGGGGUACACGAGUGGCGGACGGGUGCGUAACGCGUAUGCAACAUGCCUUCCAGCGGGGGAUAUACCAGGGAAACUUGGCGCAAUACCCCAUAGAAUUACGGGACCGCAUGGUCUUGUGAUUAAAACUCCGGUGCUGGGAGAUUGGCAUGCGUGACAUUAGCUAGUUGGCGGGGUAAAGGCUCACCAAGGCGACGAUCUGUAGCGGGUCUGAGAGGAUGAUCCGCCACACUGGGACUGAGACACGGCCCAGACUCCUACGGGAGGCAGCAGUGGGGAAUUUUGGACAAUGGGGGCAACCCUGAUCCAGCCAUGCCGCGUGAGUGAAGAAGGCCUCGG
rnacentral:rRNA from 1 species